rnacentral:rRNA from 1 species
GGCAUGUGGUUUAAUUCGAAGCAACGCGAAGAACCUUACCAACUCUUGACAUCCCCCUGACCGGUACAGAGAUGUAUCUUCCCCUUCGGGGGCAGGGGUGACAGGUGGUGCAUGGUUGUCGUCAGCUCGUGUCGUGAGAUGUUGGGUUAAGUCCCGCAACGAGCGCAACCCUUGUCCUUAGUUGCCAGCAUUUGGUUGGGCACUCUAGGGAGACUGCCGGUGACAAACCGGAGGAAGGUGGGGAUGACGUCAAAUCAUCAUGCCCCUUAUGAGUUGGGCUACACACGUGCUACAAUGGACGGUACAAAGGGCAGCGAAGCCGCGAGGUGGAGCCAAUCCCAGAAAGCCGUUCUCAGUUCGGAUUGCAGGCUGCAACUCGCCUGCAUGAAGUCGGAAUCGCUAGUNNUCGCAGGUCAGCAUACUGCGGNAAUACUUCCCUG